GGCAGAUUAGGUAGUUGGUGGGAUAAAAGCUUACCAAGCCGACGAUCUGUAGNUGGUNUGAGAGGACGACCAGCCACACUGGGACUGAGACACGGCCCAGACUCCUACGGGAGGCAGCAGUGGGGAAUUUUGGACAAUGGGCGAAAGCCUGAUCCAGCCAUGCCGCGUGCAGGAUGAAGGCCUUCGGGUUGUAAACUGCUUUUGUACGGAACGAAAAGACUCUGGUUAAUACCUGGGGUCCAUGACGGUACGGUAAGAAUAAGCACCGGCUAA
rnacentral:rRNA from 1 species